CCUUGUGCCAGCAGCCGCGGUAAAACCAGCUCUUCAAGUGGUCGGGAUAAUUAUUGGGCUUAAAGUGUCCGUAGCCGGUUUAGUAAGUUCCUGGUAAAACCGGGCAGCUUAACUGUCCGUAUGCUAGGAAUACUGCUAUGCUAGAGGGCGGGAGAGGUCUGAGGUACUACAGGGGUAGGGGUGAAAUCUUAUAAUCCUUGUAGGACCACCAGUGGCGAAAGCGUCAGACUGGAACGCGCCUGACGGUGAGGGACGAAAGCCAGGGGAGCGAACCGGAUUAGAUACCCGGGUAGUCCUGGCCGUAAACGAUGCAUAUUAGGCAAUGGUGCGGCCAUGAGCCGCAUCAGUACCGUAGGGAAACCGUUAAGUGUGCCGCCUGGGAAGUACGGUCGCAAGGCUAAAACUUAAAGGAAUUGGCGGGGGAGCACCACAAGGGGUGAAGCCUGCGGUUCAAUUGGACUCAACGCCGGGAAACUUACCAGGGGAGACAGCAGAAUGACAGUCAGGUUGACGACCUUACUCGACGAGCUGAGUGGAGGUGCAUGGCCGUCGCCAGUUCGUGCUGUGAGGUAUCCUGUUAAGUCAGGCAACGAACGAGAUCCGCGCCUUUAUUUGCCAUCAAGAAGUCACGACUUCGUUGGGAACACUAAAGGGACCGCCGUCGAUAAGACGGAGGAAGGAGCGGGCAAAGGCAGGUCUGU
rnacentral:rRNA from 1 species